CCCUUUCUGCCCUUUCUGCACGGCGCGCCCGGCGUGCCGCCCGCCCAGGGGCGACGCAUCGUACGAUCAUGACGUAACAGCCUUUCCUCGCACUGGGAGCUCAUUCAACUCGUGGACUUCUCCGCUUCUCUCCUCAUCAUCAGAAUCAUCUCUUCGGCGUGCGCCGGGAACGGAACAUGGCCAACUAGACUCGUUCGCUGCCGUUCUCGUUGUCCACCGGCUAUGCAGUGUUCCCUGAGAGUGGUGCUGGUGCGAUGGGCACCAUCCAGUGUGGUGCGAUGCUCCCUGUCUACCUCCGUGGUGCGCCACCAGAUUGAGGCAGUCGCCACCACGCAGGUGCUGGUGCCCAGUGGCCGAGGGGUGCUGAAAAAGAAAGAGGAAGCCAAGGAGCAGAGUGCCUCCGACUGGCCAUACACGGACCGUUGGGUCACUGUCCGCACGUGUGGGGAGCUCUACCGCGACUGGAGGCACUGGAA